UUGUACCGUGUAGACGAUUGACGAUGGUUGGUUAUAAUAUAAUCUAAUUUUAGUUAAUUCAUGUCGUGAGAGAACGCAUAGAAUUCAAGUAAAUUAGUGAAUCUGUGAAAUGAUUUGUGGUGAGAACAUUGUACAUUCAGCAAUAAAUAAGAACGAUAAAGUGAUGCAAUACCGUGUAGAACAAAUUCCACAAAAUGUCAGACCUGUUGCAUCUAUUGCUUAACGACAGUGCUGUGCAUGUAAAGCUGGUGUCUUAUUUCGUCGAUUGUGAAAUUGUUGACGCGCCUUUUGCCCAACAUCAGAUAAACGAAAUGUACGCAAGAUGUCUUCACUUAUUGAAUCUAUGUACGAUUGCAUCUGUUCAAGCUCUAGCAGUAGCAGGAUUAAUACUUUGUACUAUAACGUUCGACAUUUCGUGGCCCCUCGUACUUAUUGUGUCCAUUACUACUGGUGCAUUCAUUACAAUGUUGCAGUCUAAAAAUGCUAAAAAUAAGUAAUCACCAGACGUCGUUUUGUCAUUGGAAACAACUGACGCAAUAGCUCUACGAUGCACUUAACUAGCAGCGGUAACUUGCAUAAGAUUUUGUUUGGUUGACAAACUGACGGUGAAGUGUCUGUGCAUUUGAAUGAAUUCGUUGAACUAUGUGCCAGUUCAGUGAUAAGAGCCGAGGACGGAGUUAAGUCGGUCGGGCAUAAAAGAUGAAAAUGUCGUUGCUGAUUCAUUACAAUACUGAAACGAUCGUUCGCGUAUGAAGAGUUGCACUCGCCGCUCCUUUCCAUGACAGUCGCCUUAGAUGGGUUUACUAUUCAUCCAUUCCGUUUGUCAACCGAAUCAUUAUGCGGUCCACAUUAUGCAGAGCCAUCACAAGGAAGCUGGGACACUAUAAGAAUCUACAAAUUCAUAAGCGAAAUUACCUUUUCUAACAACAACUUGGAUAUUGAUGGUCGUCGUAAUACCCAGCAAAGAACGUCAAUUGGCAGCAGCACAAAGAAGAAUUAGCAGUAUGGUAACAUUGGUCGUGGUGUUACAAGGCUGGUUGGUCGAGUCAACUUGGAUAUUGAUGGUCGUCGUAAUACCCAGCAAAGGACGUCAAUUGGCAGCAGCAAGAAGAAAAGGUCACAGAAGAAAAGAAAUCAGCAAGACUGGUUGGUCGAGUCAAAUCACAAAUUGAUGGUCGUCGUAAUGUCCAGCAAAAAAAAAGCCAGCAAUAAGAGGAAGAAGAAGUUAGCAGAGACUGGUUGAUCAUUCGGUGGUCGAAUCGAUGGUCGUCGUAACAAUCCAGAAACAUCAGUAAAGAGUAGUGAAUCGUGGUGUGGUUUCCUCAUCAAUUCGGUUACCACAGGUGGGAGAGUCAGAAGAAGAAUUUAAAAAAGAAUUAGUGAAUUAGCAUGCGUCAUUUGACAAUAGCAAAAAGAAGAAGAAGAAGGAGAAGUUAACAAACAAUUGGUCAAUUGGCAAACGACAUUGGCAACAGCAAAGAGAAGAAGUUCGAAACAAAUUGGUCAAUUGGCAAGCGUCAUUAGCAACAACAAGAAGAAGAAGUAAACAAAGAUUUGGUCAAUUGGUUGGUCGAGUCGAUUUAAAAACAGUCGAAUUGAAAGGACGUUGAGUUUGCAUAUUUUUGGUUGAAGUUUCCUCGUUACCUACGGAAACUGGUGGGAGUGUCAAAAAUAUUAUGGAGAGUGAUUUCACUCUAGUCAAAACAGUAGGAAAAAGUCAUCAAAGUAUUCCUUUAAAUUAAAAUUGGUCACAUAAGCCUUGAAAUCAGUAUAAAUACAACUACUGAACGGGCAACAUGCCCUAAGUAACGAGUUUCUCUCAUAGUAGAUGUACUGGCGCAUGCGUGUUGGGGAGAAUAUGCCUCCAGUACAAGUAGAAACAGUGGAACCAUCGAUGCAGCGGCCGACGAACAAAGAAGAAUUUGUUAAAAUUCUUGACACUGUAUGUCUUCUUGUUCAAAUAAGAUCUUAUUAAUUUCAACAAAAUCUGAUGGUUUCAAAUUUUACGUCAAUUUUUCUAAACUAGACUAAACUGUCUGUGGUAUCGGCUACAAUUUUUUGGUGUCAAAAAUUUCGUCCGCAGCCAUUUGUAGUGCAGAUAUCUCCACCGAUUGACAUUGUGUCGAAUCGUUUUAUUAUGUUUUUAAACUCUUUUUAGAACUGGUAUUGGCUCAAUCGUAUUAACCUUUCGUUUUCGUGACACUGUUUGUUUAGCAUAUUGGUUUUACAUAAACACUGAUUUUCUAGAUAUUUAGUGACCGAAACGGAAUAUCUUUGUUUUCAUAACACUAACUACGAAAAUGAGAUGCGAAAGUUUAAAAAUUAAACUCUCAAUAAGCCACGACAUCACAAGAGGUGCGAAAGGCCUCAAACGAAGAUGCGAAAGUAAAUGACAGCAACAACAUGUGCAUUUCGCGAAAUUGCCUAAAAACAAAGGUCCAAAACAGAUACACAAAUAACUAUUUUAUGCUACGGAUCGAAAGUGAGGCACGGUUGGUUUGAAACGAGAUUAAAUAGGGACUGCCGACCACCAAUAUUUUUUUUUUCAUAUUUAUAAUGAGUGA